GAUUAAUGGUGCACUAAAGAAGGGCGGUCACGACCGACGACAAGAUCACCUGGUCCGGCGAACGUUAUUCGCCGGUGGAAAAUGGGAUCCAUGGAGAUGUUGAUAAGGAGCCUCUACACACUGUUGCUGACCCACAUUAUAGAAGCACACCACCGCUACAGGUACCGAAGCGAAGAAGGAGACGACAACAAUGAUGGUUGACGCUAGCUUUUCUUUAUUUCGAGCUAUGGCGAUGAUGUGGAGAGA